CCGUACGGGGUUGGGAUACUGCACCUGCACUCUGGGAUAAGCCUGGGAAACUGGGUCUAAUACCGGAUAGGACCAUGCUUUAGUGUGUGUGGUGGAAAGUUUCUUCGGUGUAGGAUGAGCCCGCGGCCUAUCAGCUUGUUGGUGGGGUAAUGGCCUACCAAGGCGGCGACGGGUAGCCGGACUGAGAGGUUGGUCGGCCACAUUGGGACUGAGAUACGGCCCAG
rnacentral:rRNA from 1 species